CAACUGCCGUCAGACUGGCUAUCUGUGGAACCGCAGAUAUACCGGAUAACCCUGGCACCACAGGUGCCGAGUGAAAGAUGGUUAGCCCAUCCGUGACAGAUGGACCCGCGCUGUAUUAGUUAGUGGCGGGGUAACGGCCCACCAAGACGUCGAUAUAUAGCCGACAUGAGAGAGUGAUCGUCCACAUUGGAUUGAGACACGUCUCAAACUCUUUCGGGGGGCAGCAGUAAGGAAUCUUCUGCUAUGGAGGAAAGUAUGUCGGAGCAAUGCAGCGUGAGCGAAGAAGGUAUUCGCAUCGUAAAGCUUUGUAGCCGGAGAAGAACGUGCAGAAGAGGAAAUGCCUAUGCAGUGACGGUAUCCGGCCAGAAGGCCACGGCUAACUACGUGCCAGCAGCCGCGGUAAUACGUAGGUGGCAAGCGUUGUCCGGAAUUAUUGGGUGUAAAGCGCGCGCAGGUGGUUUCUUAAGUCAGAUGUGAAAUCUCGGGGAUCAACCGCAAAAGGUCAUUGGAAACUGGGGAACUUGAGUGCAGAAGAGGAGAGUAGAAUUCCACGUGUAGCGGUGAAAUGUGUAGAGAUGGGGAGGAAUACCGGUGGCGAAGUCGGCUUUUCGGUUUGUAACUGACUCUGAGUUGUGAAAGCGUGGGGAGCAACCAGGAUUAGAUACCCUGGUAGUUCCCUCCGUAAACGAUGAAUGAUAGGUGUUAGGGGGGUCCCACCCCUUAGUGCCGAAGUUAACACAUUAAGCAUUGCGGUUUGGGGACUAUGACCGCAAGGUUGAAACUCAA
rnacentral:rRNA from 1 species